CAUUUUAAAAGAAACCACCGUCAUUUACACUCACCGGCAGUUCGGCUCUCAGCUCUCAACUCUCCGAUGACAAUGUCGAUCAAAACCCUUUUAACUCUUCGAUGACGAUGUCAAUCGAAACCACUUAAUCGAUUUUCCUGUCUUAGUACUUCGGCUCUCAACUCUCCGAUGACGAUGUCGAUCAAAACCCUUUUAACUCUCCGAUGACGAUGUCCAUCGGAAUCCCUAAAUCGAUUUUCCCGGCGAUCAAUCUAUUGGUGUUCUUUCCAUUAUCUACUAGAGUACUAGAGUAGAAUUCUUGUAUGCAUUCUACCCUUCUUUUUUUACAAAAAUCAAGAAGUUGGUAUCAAAAGAAGAAACCCUAAACUAAUUUUCCCGCGGUUCUUAUCUGCUCAAGUAAUAGUACUGGUCUUCCCAGCGGAUGUUAAAGAUGUUCAAGAAUUUGUUUGAACUUUUUUAGGGAGUCAAAAGAUGUACAUGCGAUGGGGAGUCAAAAGAAGAAUUUGCACGAACGAUAUCUCAAAGUUUCUUCGUUUAUGGGACAAAAUGGAAGGACUGCAGUCCAGAGAUUACAAUUGAGUACCUUAGCUAUAUCUCAGAUAUUUUUGUGACUUGUUCUCUAUUUUGUUAAGAUGAUGGAAUUUUUUCUUCUCCAAUAUGAGUUGCAGAGCGGUACUGAACAGAGUAUCUGAAGAUUUAGGAUUACUGUACUCAAUGUAACUUUUGCGUCUUGCAUAUUUUUGGUGAUUCAUUGGUUCCUUAUUCCACUGAUAAAACCUGGAGGGUGUCAAAGUUCUCCAACAGGCUGAUAAGAAGUUAAUUUCGACUGUGUCAAACACAACCCUUUGUGAUGUGCCAUGCCGGAUGAUGAUUAAAAUUAAGACUGUUCAUGAUGUGCAAUUUAUGCUAGUUAAUUUGUCCUUGAGUGCUUGUUUGUGUUAAUAAUCAAUGAUGACAGAAAACAUGAGCUACUAAUUAAUGUUCUUUUACAUGGUGCAUAACCUAGAGCAGUAAGGAGACUACAUAAUUCUCAAGAAGCUAUCUUCUGGGAGCUUUCACAGCCGUCAUUCCAUAAGUAUGAUCAAUCUUCCACCCCAAGUUGUGGGGACGGUGUAUUUUUCUGUUGAAAGGCCAAAUGUGAAAAGGAAACUUGUUAACAUCUGGAAUAGCAAAUUAGAAGCUCAAGGGGGGACAUGCACAGGUCCACACGAUGGGCAGUCAAAAGAAGAAUUUUUCACCAAUAAAAACUCGAAGUUUCUUAGAUUCUGGUAUAAAAUAGUGGGGACUCCCUAGAGAUUACAGUUGAGUACUUUAGCUAUAUCUCGGAUGUUUUUGCGACUUCUUCUCUAUUUUGUUAAGAUGAUGGACUUCUGUCUUUCCCAAUAUGAGAUGCAGAGCGGUACUGGAAGAGGAACAGAUAAUCUUAAGAAUCAGGAUACUAUACUGAGUGUCACUUCUGGCGUGUUGCAUUUCAUUGGUUCCUGAUACCAUUGAUAAAAACUGCAUUAAGGGUGCCAAAGUUCUCGAACAGGUUGAUAAGAAGUUUAUUCCCAUUGUGGCAAGCACAACACCUGCUAUAAUUGAUCAGGAUUUUUCUCUUUGCAGUCAUUGUUGGUGAUGUAUUUUAUAACGAACCAGUUCGAACCAAAAGAAGGUCUUGCAUUCUCUGGAAGAGACUCUGCUGAGAAUCACCCUUGUGCAAUCCAGUGUCUCCUUCAAAAUUGCUGAUAUUGAAAGUGAGGAUGACGUGCUUUGCACAUGUACCUCUCAUUCUCCAUUGCCAAAAUUGUCCAGUGGGUUUGGGAUUCAACUGACCUCCCUUAACAAAUUGAAUGCAAGUGAUGGUUCAUUCAAGCUCUCAGGAUACAUUUCAGGUCCUGAUUUUUACGCAAUGAGCGUAUAAAGGCCCAAAUUGAUGGAUAAGAGAUUUGAUAGGAAUCUCUUGUGGUAACUAAAUGGUUCUUGAUGUUACUUGUAGAGGCGAUGUGUGAUUCUUGUUUGUUUGUCUAUUGGAGCAUGUCACUGGUUCAUUUUUUUUCCAUGUGAGAUUUGCAAUCAAAUUGGCUGAAAUGAUGUGUAGCAUUUUACUCUCUGUUGGCACCAUUGGAUUGGCACCUCGUCCUUCUCUUUAUUGAGGAUCCUGUCACGAAUCUCUGGACUGUAAGUACCGAUAUUCUUGAGAUCAGUGAAGGCAGGUAUAGAGCUCAGAGUUGCAAAGCUACACUUGAACUUCUUUCCCCACUGCCAAAGAAACUGACUGGAGAGUGCUCUGUCAGAGAGAUAUUCAAUCUUCUUCUGAUAUUCUGUGGGGAAGUGCUCUGGGUCCAGAUUCCUCUGUCAGAUUGAAAGUUUUCAAGUCAGUCAAUCAUGGAUCUCUUGCUCAUUGCACAGCCGGUGUAAACUGGAGAUCUGUUGAUGAUGGAACAUCUUUUGAUAUUGAUGAAGAUAUAUUAAGUUUGAAAAAGUGACUAGAGUACUAAACAAAGUUGCCUUGGAGAUGGUGUUGAACAUAAAGCAGUUGAUAAUAUUUACCAGAUACUAUAUCAAAAGAUUUUGAAAAUUAUCCAGGUGCAAAACUAAGGCAUUGCAGAAGUCAAAAAUUUUGUCAAGAUAUCCAGAAAAAUCUUCAUUGACCAAGGACAUCUUAUGGAUCAUAAAUAGUAGUUGGAGUAGUUCAUUCCGAAUUUUUCAUAUUUAUAAUUUUGACAAUACUCCGGUAAGUUUUUUAGUCUUAUUCGAUAACCAUAGCAUACUAUAACAGGAUUUCUACUUUGUAAUUUUAUUACUACGAAUAUUUAUUUUGUGAAAUAAGUUGUUUGGACCGAUUUUUAAGCAAA